UGGGGAAUAUUGGACAAUGGGCGAAAGCCUGAUCCAGCAAUGCCGCGUGUGUGGUGAAGGGUUUCGGCUCGUAAAGCUCUGUUGUUAGAGAAGAAUGACAUUGAGAGUAACUGUUCAAUGUGUGACGGUAUCUUACCAGAAAGGAACGGCUAAAUACGUGCCAG
rnacentral:rRNA from 1 species